GAUGAAGAACGUAGCGAAAUGCGAUAAGUAAUGUGAAUUGCAGAAUUCAGUGAAUCAUCGAAUCUUUGAACGCACAUUGCGCCCCUUGGUAUUCCGAGGGGCAUGCCUGUUCGAGCGUCAUUAUAACCCCUCAAGCUCAGCUUGGUGUUGGGGCCUGCUGCACUGGCAGCCCUUAAAAUCAGUGGCGGCGCCAUCUGGCUCUAAGCGUAGUAAUUCUUCUCGCUAUGGAGUCCUGGUGGAUGCUUGCCAUCAACCCCCAAUUUUUCUAUGGUUGAACUCGGAUCAGGUAGGGAUACCCGCUGAACUUAAGCAUAUCAAUAAGCGGAGGA
rnacentral:misc_RNA from 1 species